GGCAGUUCUCACACUCCAAGCACAUAGAGUAAGCCUUGGGCUGGUGCAUGCUCUGUCAACUCACAAAUAAUUGAUAACGACAACCAGGGCCUACACCCAUCAGUACCUAGGUGCUCUUUACGCUGGUUAUAUACAUUGUUUGGGAGUGUGCCAAGCAGGGUACAUGGGUUAGGGGGCGCAAUACAUGCUUUGCUCCGGGUGCUGGUAACCCACACUACGCCACUGCAUGAUACUCUGAGCCCAAACCUUAGCUUAGCACAGUGCAGGAGCGAAAAGGACAGCGAAGGAGCAAAGCAGCUAGGAGGUGCUCAGAGAGAUUACACAUGUUUGGCUUACCGAGUUGUGAGAACUAAGCCGAUGACACAAAUAAGUGGUGAGGCAUCUUCCUAUCACAAUCUCUACUUGCUUGGGGAGGGGGGUGGGUAAAGACAGCAAGUGGCAGGAAGUCAAGAGAAAACACUGACCUGGCUAGAGGCCUAAGGGAGCAUCAGUCAAGGAAAUGAUGUUACUCAUAAGAAAGAGGAUUAAUGUUAAUGAUUACACUUUAUUUAUCAGAAAAAGAGCAUAAAGGGUUAUGCACGAGUGGUGCGUGUUACCUGGGCUCAUCAAGAGAAUGUACUUUAGAGGCUGAGGCAGCAGGCUUAUUUGUAGUGGUUCAGCUGAGUUUAUUGAGUUAAGCACAUGCUAAUAUAUGAAAGGACCCUAGUCUGUGGCCAGAGUCCCUAAUACGUUGGGACCAUAUGCAGGAAAGAUUUGCCAAAUAUAUGGAUAAUUGUAUAAGGAUGGAGGUUUGUGUCAGACCAUUUGCAAAGAUUCUUGAAGGUAUGAGGCAUCCUCCUUGUUUUAAAUUCAAUGUGUAGGAUGAUUGAGUCAUUAGAACAAUUUUUUUAGCGUGCAUUGUCACCAGAAAAUGGAGCCUUCAAAAAUCAAAUGCAAUCUACAUCACUGAGGGAAAGUGGAGGAAGGGGGAAUAUAUUAUGUUUGACUCACUUCAAACAUAAAAUAAAUUCUAUGCUACACAAGCAUUUCAUUAAUUAUUUUUAUAGAAUCAGCACAGUGGUAGCUCAGGUUACAGAUGCUUCAGGUUACAGAUGCUUCAGGUUACAGACUCCACUAACCCAGAAAUAGUACCUUGGGUUAAGAACUUUGCUUCAGGAUGAGAACAGAAAUUGGGCGGCAGCAGCACAGCGGCAGUGGGAGGCCCCAUUAGCUAAAGUGGUACCUCAGGUUAAGAACGGACCUCCAGAACGAAUUAAAUUUUUAACCAGAGGUACCACUGUACUUAUGUUCACUUUCCUGCAAACUGUAUCAUGGCUCUCUUGACCAGGAGAAAUGGGAGUCCGUCUCAUUCUUUGUCGGGCCUAAACAUUAGAAAAUCUUCAAGACUAGGUAUGCAAAGAUCUGAUUCUUUAUAGCAGGAGAAAAUGGUAAUGUUAAUGACCCAUUGUGAAUCCACAUCAACAUUCCCUAAGGCUGCAAUCCUAGGCACACUUAUUUGGAAGUAGACUGCAUUAAACUCAAUCCUUCAGAAUAAACAUGCAUACCAUCAGACAGUUCCUUUAACUAACUCUACAUAUUACCCUCCCCAUCCCUAAAUGCUUUUUUCAAACAUAUGACACACUUAAUUUUAAAAGAGAUAAAUGAAAGAUGCAAUGAGAUAUUUGGUGGUUUGGUGGAAGGAAAAAUUGCUGGACGACCACCCCUUCUCCAAUUCUCUGGUAAAUAAAACAUUUAAUAAAAAAGAACUAAGGUUGAUAAAUCACAGAGAGACUUAUUCUCAAAGUAUUAGUAGUGGGUAGGGCUCAUUGGCUUAGUUGGGGCACCAGGCAAAAAGGAAUCUUAGGAAUGUAGUGAAAAUAUUUUAGAGCAGUUUAUUUGACAUAUUUCAUACCAUCAUGGUGAAAAUAUUAUGCUGCACACUGAAAAAGUAAUAAAGUCCCAUUGCUGAAAGCUCAAUUUAUUUUGUCUGUUAAACCUUUACUGAGAAGCAGAGAUUCUAUUGUUUAUGAACAUGGUACUAAGUAUAUAGAUUUUGUGAGUAAUUAUUAGUAAGGCUAUGAAAGUCAAAUAUAUUGAUAGAAAUUAGAACCUCCAAGGAAACAUUAUUGUGACAUGCAGAUAACUGUUUCCUGAAAUUUUAUUCUCUUGUGUGCUUAUGUGACUAUGAUAACUGAACAUAUGGAGAUUAGGAUGAGUGUAGGAGUCAAAGUGUUUAUCUCUAACUAACAGCUCUAUAAAAUUAACAAAUAAAAGUUUCAGCCUUACUCAUACAGACCAUUUAGCUUAACAGCUUUCAUGUAUUAUCCAUAUGAAAAUGCUGGGGACCAAGGAAAAAGAGAAAUAUAUAUAUAACAAUCGUCAUCUUAUUUCAGGAGAAGCUCUUCUGUCUAACUGGUGGAUUCAGGAAAAAACCAAACCAUAUCUUUUUGGUAAGGAGUGCUAGCUUUUGUGGUUUCUAAGCACUGAGAAUCAAGUCUACAAAAAUCCAACAGUAGGACUGCCAUCUUUCUUUCUAUCUAUCCUGAUAUUCAGGAGUUCAUUAAUGAAGUUUAUAGAGGUGAAGUGAUAGGAAAGGCAGCUGCUGCUAAAUUUCUAUCAGAUGAAAUUUACUGCAAAUUUGGGAAAACAUCCUCCAAAAAUCAUGGGAGUUCUACCACACUGGAACUGAAAAUCUGGCUGCAAUUCAUUUACCUGAGCAUAAGCCUUCCUGAAUUCAAUGUGACUUAUUUUUGAGUAGCGAUAUAUAGUAGGGUGGUUCA